rnacentral:rRNA from 1 species
CAUAGCGUAUAUUAAAAUUGUUGCGGUUAAAACGCUCGUAGUUGGAUAUCUGUGAGCGGGUUCCGGUCCUUCCCAGUGAAGAUUACACGGAACUCUGCUCGCAUUUGUUCAGGGAGGGUGGAUGCACUUCACUGUGUGACCACAUGAUCUGAAUUUUUACUUUGAGGAAAUGAGAGUGUUCCAAGCAGGCAAUCGCCGUGAAUAUGAUAGCAUGGAAUAAUAGCACAGGACUCUUGGUUCAAUGCUGUUGGUUAAUUGAACUAGAGUAAUCACAAUAAGGAUAGUUGGGGGUAUUCGUAUUUAACUGUCAGAGGUGAAAUUCUUGGAUUUUUUAAAGACGAACAAUUGCGAAGGCAUCUACCCAGGAUGUUUUUGUUGAUCAAGAACGAAAGUUAGGGGAUCGAAGACGAUCAGAUACCGUCCUAGUCUUAACCUUAAACUAUGCCGGCUGGAGAUUGGAGUCGUCAGAUUUGUGACGUCUUCAGCAUCCUAUGAGAAAUCUAAGUCUUUGGGUUCCGGGGGGAGUAUGGUCGCAAGGCUGAAACUUAAA